GCUUGUAAUCAUGUUUGACAUAUGCAUUGUUGUAUAAAAGUAAAAAGCUGAGCUGAAACAUAAUAUAAACUAAGUAAAAAUAUAAAAGUGAAAAUAUAAAAGUGAAAAUAUAAAAGUGAAAAUAUAAAAGUGAAAAUAUAAAAGUGAAAAUAUAAAAGUGAAAAUAUAAAAGUGAAAAUAUAAAAGUGAAAAUAUAAAAGUGAAAAUAUAAAAGUAAAGUUAGAGAUGAGCGUCUAAGCAGGAAGACCACCUGGGGCUAUGGUAUGUGAGACUGUAGAUAAAAGGCGGGCGGACGACGGACAACGGACGACGGAGCAUUUUAUAAACACAUAGAAUUUAAUUGGAAUUUAAUUUAAUCAGCAUUCAAUAUGUAUGUAUGAUAGGAGGCUAUUUGCCGUCUUUCGCGUGAAACUUUUGGAAAUAUUGUUAAAAAGCGCCUUAGUUUUGGUGCUUCUGUAUAUAACUGCCCUAACACUGCCAUUGAAUUAAAAUAUUAUUAGGCGGGACUAUUACA